AUGAUUCAGAUAGCCAUGCACGUCUAAGUACAAACUAAAUGAUGGUGAAACUGCAAAUGGCUCAUUACAACGGUUAUGAUGUACCCGGGAGUUCCGAUGGAUAUUUCCAGUAACACUAGAACUAAUACAUGUCCCUGCGUUUAUUAGUUUCGCACAGUCCGUCGCUGAGUCAUGGUAAACAGUUGAUCGACUCGACGUCCCGGAACAGUUUCCGCCCCAUCAGCUUCGAUGGUUGGGUAUUGGCCUACCAUUGCAACAACGGGUAACGAGGAAUUAGGGUUUGAUUUCGGAGAGGGAGCCUGAGAAACGGCUACCACAUCUACGGAUGGCAGCAGGCGCGCAAAUUACCCAAUGCAGACACUGUGAGGUAGUGACGAGAAAUAAUAAAGCGGGACUUCUGUUUCGCUAUUAUAAUGAGGAAUAACCAAAGGUCAUUCCGAUUAGCAACUGAUGGGAAAGUCUGGUGCCAGCAGCCGCGGUAAUACCAGCGUCAGUAGCAU
rnacentral:rRNA from 1 species